GAGAAAUAUUUCAUGGUCUGAACAUUACUUAUAUAAAAUAAGCUAGUACACUGAGUUAAUGUUUUUUGUCUCUACCUAAAUCAUAUUCUAAAUUAUCUGAAAAUUAAGCCUUGUGAUUGUUUUUACAUUUGUAUUUUUAACAGUUUGGAUUGCAAGAGCCUCUAAUAUUUUUAAUCCCUAUUUCCUUGAGAAGACGCUCAAUAAAGAUACCUGAGAUGGAAACAGAUACCGAAGAAGAGUCCAAAUCUCUCCACAUGUUGAUCCAUCUCACUCAUCAUGCUCUCUAUAUCACAUCCAAAAUGAAGAACUCUUCUGCAGAGAUCACUUCAGGAAGUCUUCUAGAAAGAAAAUAAAAUCAAGUACACACAAGAAGAGACUACCAGAAAGAUAUGUGCUCUGUUCUCAGUCUAGUGAAAAGUGAUAAAAAAAAGAUGUAGAUCUGCAGUUUCCGACAGGACAGCUUAUUCACACCAAGCUGAAGGAAAGUUAGGUUUGUACUGUGGGUGCUUUGGAUGGACAUGGACUCUGGGAGGAUUCCAUUACAAACAUACAAUCAAACAAGCAAAAGUAUAGCUAUUUCCACUGGAAUUCUUGAGAUGCAGUUCUGGGGAGAAGGUUAUAUUACAUGAAUGCGGCUUUUACACAGACACUGUUUUAGAAGUGUGGUUCAAAGACCUGCCAUGUGGAAACAAAUACAAGCAGAGCUCAACUACUGAUGGGUGCUAAAGGAUGAAAUAAGGUGAGCGGAGCCUGAAAUUCAGGACACAUUCCAGUGUGUUACUUGGAUUCAUGUCACUGUUUGUUUUUUUUUAAUUUCUUGCUUCAUUCUGAUCCUCAAUGAAGCAUUGGUAGGUCUUGUCAGACUCUGGAAUAUUAAGCAAGAAACCCAGUGUUGGUAGAAGGACUUUUUUUGUAGAGAAGUUCAGUUGAAAAGCAACAGACAAACAAAAGUUGAAAUCGAGAAAUUAGGAAUAACUCAUGUAGCAAAAAAAAAGGAGUUAAGACUUUAAAAACACUACGAUUUUCACAUUGGUUUCAUAAUGAAGAUAGCGAUUUUGAUAAUUUGUCUGCCUUAUCCCUGUAAAUGUUUAUAUCAACUGAGAAAAAAAAUAGAUACCUCAGAGAUGUGGUGUUCAGACAAGUUUCAUGAAAAUCAGUCACUGAAUACAUGGGAAGACUCAAAAGAAGGCUCUCCUGACAGAAGGGCUGAAGCCUGAGUUCACCAUUGUUUCUUUUUUAGCUAGAGGGCAACCAGAGUGCACAUACAGGCUGGGUAGCCAGCAUGCUCAGUUUGACACUAGCCACAGCAUGUUGCAGAUGCCUUUACCAGGACUUAACAUAGGGCAAAAGGAUCUGGGAUUUCAGUAUAAGAUGUGACAAAAGAGAAGAGAAUUAGAGACAUUUCAGGGAGAUAUAAUAUGCAGUGCGGGCAAAAGUUUGUGGAAAUGGGUUUUUACUACCUGUGUUGUUUGAGGAAUGACUUACCGAACGUGUAUGAAAAAGCUGUAGAGGGGGGUUUAUGGCAUCAGCAGUGAUAAUAUGAUAAACUAUGAUAAUCAUUAAAAAACCUACACUAUUUUUCCAGUGUGAUGGAGGGAAAAGUCUUUUUUUCUUCCUCUCUGAAAAAAUCACAUUUUUUUUUCCAAUAAUAUCAUACAAUAGAUUAAAAAAGAAUGUUUCAAUUACAUAAAACUAGUAUACAC
rnacentral:lncRNA from 1 species